UACGAAGGGGGCUAGCGUUGUUCGGAAUUACUGGGCGUAAAGCGUGCGCAGGCGGCUUCUCAAGUCAGGGGUGAAAGCUCAGAGCUCAACUCUGGAAUUGCCUUUGAGACUGAGUGGCUUGAGUACGAGAGAGGUGAGUGGAAUUCCCAGUGUAGAGGUGAAAUUCGUAGAUAUUGGGAAGAACACCGGUGGCGAAGGCGGCUCACUGGCUCGUAACUGACGCUCAUGCACGACAGCGUGGGGAUCAAACAGG
rnacentral:rRNA from 1 species